GGUGCUAUAGUGUAGUGGGAUUCUGAUGGCCCAAUACCCGCAAUCUUCCCGAAACCCAGGUUCGAAUCCUGGUAGCACCU